GGUCCAACAUGUGUCUUCGGUGGACACAAGGUAGAUCAUACUCUCCAUGCCUGACCCCUACCUAGACUAGGGAGUAGGGGAUAUAUGUUAUCGAGUAAAGCUCUAGUGCCCGAUCCGAAGACAUAAAUGAACUUCGAUCAUGGCCGAUCUAUGCAUUGGCCACCAAUCCUCACAUUGGCUGUCGACCUUACAUGGGCUUUUGACUUCUCACCAGCAUCUUCGCUUGUAAGUCAUUGAUCUGUGCUUGAGC
rnacentral:lncRNA from 1 species